CAGUCGCCGCGGUAAUACGUAGGGUGCAAGCGUUAAUCGGAAUUACUGGGCGUAAAGCGUGCGCAGGCGGUUAUGUAAGACAGUUGUGAAAUCCCCGGGCUCAACCUGGGAACUGCAUCUGUGACUGCAUAGCUAGAGUACGGUAGAGGGGGGUAGAAUUCCAGGUGUAGCGGUGAAAUGCGUAGAUAUUGGGAAGAACACCGGUGGCGAAGGCGGCAACCUGGCUCAUUACUGACGCUGAGGCGCGAAAGCGUGGGGAGCAAACAGGAUUAGAUACCCCUGUAGUCCCUGUCUCUUAUAC
rnacentral:rRNA from 1 species